rfam:Flavobacteriaceae bacterium TMED238 46008, whole genome shotgun sequence.
UUGUUAUGGGCAGGGCUUAUGCAACCAGCUCCCAUUGAAUCCCCCAGGGUGGGAACACAGCAAGGGUAUAUGGUCGUAGCGGUGUGAUAUAAGUUACUUGCCCUUUU